rnacentral:lncRNA from 1 species
GGGCAACCUUCUCCAAAGCAAGGAUAUUUUCCUGUCUAAACUGAUGCUUAUUAUUUAUAUUGGAAAGCUCAUCAAAAGCUUGAAGUUGCCUUUGCCUCGAAAGGAAUACAUCAUCUUCAAAUAUGCAAAGUAGAUUUAAUGUUGAUAACAUAAGAGUUACUGACCUUGUAUUUCAGCUGCUCUUACUGUGCACUUUGGCUUUUUCUGUAAUAAGAUCAUCUCUUACUGCCAGAUGAUUAUUGAUCACUUAUGACAGAAAGAAAAAGCCUUGACCAGACUCAUCUAUUCAUUGUGCUCGGCACUAACCAAUACCAAAAUGACGACACCACCCCCCCCCAAAAAAAAAAAAACAGAGCUGCAGUCUAGAAGAGCGUUUACAGCUGAAUCCAACAGGGAAGAAGGGAUCUCCUGGUCAAAUUGGCAUGUCUUAUCAACUUACCUUCUCCAUGAGAGCUGCAAGAACCAUGUUCUUUCUUUAAAGCUCAAGUUAUCUCGGAUUCACCGUCGGUCCUGUGCCCCUGUGGUUCUCCAGCUACAGAAUUAUAUUAGCAAACAUCACCACAUAUUUUAG